GUUUCUUGUUGCGUACUCGAUUCUUGCUUCAACAGAGAUUAAAUUUGGGGCUAUUCUUCUAUUUUAUGCUGAUAAUCUCUAUACGGCCCUUUGAUUUCUCUUCGACAUGGCUUGUUCGUUGAAGACUGCCCUCUCUGUUUCGGGGCUUAAGGAUAAUUUGCGUUGCUCUAAUUCAUCUGGGCUUUCUGGGUUUUCUUCUUCUGUUCCUGCUUCCAAUUUAAAAGGGUGGAAACAGCCAGGGUUUCCUGUUUUGAC
rnacentral:misc_RNA from 1 species